GUUGAUUUGGCAGAAAUUUUUAAUGCAUUAAAUUUAGAAUUUAAUUAUAUAAUAUAUAUUAUAUUCAAUA
rnacentral:tRNA from 1 species